UACAGAGGUCCCAAGCGUUGUUCGGAUUCACUGGGCGUAAAGGGUGCGUAGGUGGUCGGGUAAGUCUGAUGUGAAAUCUCCGGGCCUAACCCGGAAACUGCAUCGGAUACUAUCCGACUGGAGGGUUGGAGGGGGGACUGGAAUACUUGGUGUAGCAGUGAAAUGCGUAGAUAUCAAGUGGAACACCAGUGGCGAAGGCGAGUCCCUGGACAACUCCUGACACUGAGGCACGAAAGCUAGGGGAGCAAACAGG
rnacentral:rRNA from 1 species